rnacentral:lncRNA from 1 species
AAGAAGCUGGAAAACAGAGCAACAUAGAGCCACACGUGUGUGAGAGAGUGAGAGAGAAGCUGCCAAACCGACCCAACUACAGACCCGAAAACCCGACCCGGAACCCGCGACCUUGACCCGGCCAUAACUCCCAUUUCCGGCCACCGUUUCAGCCGAGCUUGGUACCAAUAUGAAGCUUAGAAGCUGACCGUCAUUCCCGUGCCAUCCUUGCCGCCGAAAACCAACCGGAACGCCAGCGAUCGAAGCUUGAAACCAGCGACUGUUUCACUUUACUCCGCCGGGAUUUUCACCGGUUUUGGGUGACACCACCGGUUGGAGUUUGUUCCUCAUGACUCCCUCUUCCAUUUCCGACCAUCCAUAGGCACCGAGAGUCAC